rnacentral:rRNA from 1 species
CAAUAGCGUAUAUUAAAGUUGUUGCAGUUAAAAAGCUCGUAGUUGGAUUUCGGGGCAGCCUGGCUGGUCCGCCGCAAGGCGAGUACUGGUCAGCCGCCCUUCCUCUCGAAAGCCCCGACUGCUCUUUAUUGCAGUGGUCGGGUAGUUCGGGACGUUUACUUUGAAAAAAUUAGAGUGUUCAAGGCAGGCCUACGCCUGAAUACAUUAGCAUGGAAUAAUGGAAGAGGACCUCGGUCCUAUUUUGUUGGUUUCCAGGACCGAAGUAAUGAUUAAGAGGAACAGUUGGGGGCAUUCGUAUUUAAUUGUCAGAGGUGAAAUUCUCGGAUUUAUGAAAGACGAACAACUGCGAAAGCAUUUGCCAAGGAUGUUUUCAUUAA